rnacentral:lncRNA from 1 species
ACUUUGACCACCUCGCAGGAUGCAGUGCUGAAGGAGAACAGGAGGUGCCAUCCCAAAAUAUGCCAUUUCGGUGUAAGAAUUAUUUUAAACUGAAGACCUCUGAAAUUCAACAGAUGCAGAAAGGCGGCUUCGUGGAGCUUUCCUUAUCUGACUUAAAAGCAGAAAUUCCUGGGAAAUCAGUCUACCAUAAAUUCCCUCGUUGGGAACUUCCUGACCUUUCCCCUAGUGGGCAGAAGUAUCUGCUUUGCAGAAGAAUUCGUGUUGUUGUGACUGGAAGGCUGAGAGAAAGGAAAGACAGAGAUCACAAGUAAGGAGAGACGCAGGCAGAGAGAGAGGAAGAGAAGCAGGCUUCCUGCUGAGCAGAGAGCUCCAUGUGUGGCUCAAUCCCAGGACCCUGAAAUCAUGACCUGAGCCAAAGGCAGAGGCUUUAACCCACUGAGCCACCC